AUUGAACGCUGGCGGCAGGCCUAACACAUGCAAGUCGAGCGAGCGGCGGACGGGUGAGUAAUGUCUGGGAAACUGCCUGAUGGAGGGGGAUAACUACUGGAAACGGUAGCUAUUACCGCAUACCAUCAGAUGUGCCCAGAUGGGAUUAGCUAGUCGGUGGGGUAACGGCUCACCUAGGCGACGAUCCCUAGCUGGUCUGAGAGGAUGACCAGCAACGCUGGAACAGAGACACGGUCCAGACUCCUACGGGAGGCAGCAGUGGGUGAUAUUGCACAAAGGGCGCAAGCCAGAUGCAGCCAUGCCGCGUGUGUGAAGAAGGCCUUCGGGUUGUAAAGCAAUUUCAGCGGGGAGGCGUUACCCGCAGAAGAAGCACCGGCUAACUCCGUGCCAGCAGCCGCGGUAAGAC
rnacentral:rRNA from 1 species